GGCCUGUUGGCCCAAUGGCAAGGCGUCUGACUACGAAUCAGGAGAUUGCAGGUUCGACCCCUGCACAGGUCA